GUAACAGGAGUAUGAUGAGUAUGUUUACCUUCCAAGUAAAAGGUCCUUUGUAGGUUGUUAUU
rnacentral:tRNA from 1 species